AAUGAACGUUGGCGGCAUGGAUUAGGCAUGCGAGUCGAGCGAGAAGUGUAGCAAUACACGGAAAGCGGCGGAAGGGAGAGUAAUACGUGGGAAUCUGCCCUUAGACCUGGGAUAGCAGCGGGAAACUGCUGGUAAUACCAGAUAAUGUCUAUGGACCAAAGGUGUGAUUCCGUCUAGGGAUGAGCCCACGUCCUAUUAGCUAGUUGGUAGGGUAAUGGCCUACCAAGGCGAUGAUGGGUAGCGGGUGUGAGGGCAUGACCCGCCUCACUGGGACUGAGACACUGCCCAGACACCUACGGGUGGCUGCAGUCGAGAGUCUUCGGCAAUGGGCGCAAGCCUGACCGAGCGAUGCCGCGUGCGGGAUGAAGGCCUUCGGGUUGUAAACCGCUGUCGAGGGGGAGCAACUUCCAUAGAGUUAUCUUUAUGGAUUGAGUGAUCCCUGGAGGAAGGACGGGCUAAGUUCGUGCCAGCCGCCGCCGUAAUAC
rnacentral:rRNA from 1 species